rnacentral:rRNA from 1 species
CCUACGGGAGGCAGCAGUGAGGAAUAUUGGUCAAUGGACGAGAGUCUGAACCAGCCAAGUAGCGUGAAGGAUGACUGCCCUAUGGGUUGUAAACUUCUUUUAUAUGGGAAUAAAAUGUUCCACGUGUGGGAUUUUGUAUGUACCAUAUCAAUAAGGAUCGGCUAACUCCGUGCCAGCAGCCGCGGUAAUACGGAGGCUCCGAGCGUUAUCCGGAUUUAUUGGGGUUAAAGGGAGCGUAGGUGGAUUGUUAAGUCAGUUGUGAAAGUUUGCGGCUCAACCGUAAAAUUGCAGUUGAAACUGGCAGUCUAGAGUACAGUAGAGGUGGGCGGAAUUCGUGGUGUAGCGGUGAAAUGCUUAGAUAUCACGAAGAACUCCGAUUGCGAAGGCAGCUCACUGGACUGCAACUGACACUGAGGCUCGAAAGUGUGGGUAUCAAACAGGAUUAGAUACCCCUGUAGUC